rnacentral:rRNA from 1 species
UGGGAAUUUUGGACAAUGGGCGAAAGCCUGAUCCAGCCAUGCCGCGUGCAGGAUGAAGGCCUUCGGGUUGUAAACUGCUUUUUGUACGGAACGAAAAGACUCUGGUUAAUACCUGGGGUCCAUGACGGUACCGUAAGAAUAAGCACCGGCUAACUACGUGCCAGCAGCCGCGGUAAUACGUAGGGUGCAAGCGUUAAUCGGAAUUACUGGGCGUAAAGCGUGCGCAGGCGGUUAUAUAAGACAGAUGUGAAAUCCCCGGGCUCAACCUGGGAACUGCAUUUGUGACUGUAUAGCUAGAGUACGGCAGAGGGGGAUGGAAUUUCCGCGUGUAGCAGUGAAAUGCGUAGAUAUGCGGAGGAACACCGAUGGCNAAGCAUCCCCUGGGCCGUACUGACGCUCAUGCACGAAAGCGUGGGGAGC